CGCGCAGGUGGUUCUUUAAGUCUGAUGUGAAAGCCCCCGGCUCAACCGGGGAAAAUCAUUGGAAACUGGGGAACUUGAGUGUAGAAGAGGAAAGUGGAGUUCCACGUGUAGCGGUGAAAUGCGUAGAGAUGUAAAGGAACACCAGUGGCGAAGGCGACUUUCUGGUCUAUAACUGACACUGAGGCGCGAAAGCGUGGGGAGCAACA
rnacentral:rRNA from 1 species